UUUCUUCUUUCUCCUCCCUUCCCGAACAUUCUUCUCCUUCUUUCCUCUUCUCGUCCCGAUCUCCUCCCCUCCUCUUCUCCUCUCCUCCCAUGAGGCAAGGAGGUUCGCAGGAGUGCUCGGGAGAAGGCCGGCCCGAAGCCGGCGGCGCUGCAGCCAACCAGCGGCGCCUGCGGCGGCCGUGGUCUGGCCGGCAGCAGCCGCAGCCCAGCUGGCCGCUCCUUUCCUCCAUCUCCGGUGGGGGAAGAUGGAAGCUCGAGCACCGUCGAGAGCAAGGAGGGCCUCGGAUCACCCCGAUCUAUCCUCUCCAAGGUCUUCGGCUACCUAAUCUAGGGCCACCAUCAUCAGACUCUCUCUCUUCUUCUCAUCCUUGACCUCUUCUCUUCCCCUCCUUCCUCGGCGGAAGAAAUGAAGCUUGAGGUUACCUACCGAGAUGAAAGGGAAGAGCAAGGGCCCCCACAGUGUUUAAGGAUGUAUUACGGCCGGAUCCAUGGAAUGCUAGAUUACGGUCGAACUAAAAAUGUGAAGGAGAUGAUCGGGAGGAGGAGGGUCUUCGGCUGUCAACAGCCGUGGUCACAACCGUGGCCGAUCGUGCCAACGCCGACUCAGCGGCCGAACACCACAAAUCUAAGCUAAACAGGAUACAAAUCAUGAAGGGGAGAAGGGUUUAAGGGUUUACCUUGCUCCGAGGAGGAGCCGAGCAGCUCUUCCGGUAGCUUGAUUGCUUCCCCCGGUGCCUCAGCCUCCUACUCCGAUGGAGUCGCUCCCGAUCCGAUUCCUUGCACAGAAGGAGAAGGGAAUGAGAAGGAGUGAGAGAAGAAUCCUUGGGUUCUUAUAGGCUCGGCGGGGAGGGAGAAGUGGUGGUGAUCGUGGCUGUCAGGCGGUUAUAACCGCCUCAACAGUUGCCGAUCUCCACCGCUAUUCCUCCCAAGUCUCCAGAUGGGUCGGGAUUUACAUGAAUCACUUCAGAUGUCCAUGGGUUCGGUGGACCCAAGUGUAAAGUGAAUGCGGGUGGAAACGGGCUCAGUUGGCUCCACAACAACAAUAUGCUGCAUUCUAUUAAGACAUGCCUGAAUGAUUAAUAACCUUUUCUUUUCCAUGGU